AUGGUGGCGGCGGGACCUCAUUUGCCCUGCCUCUACGUGGGGAACUCCGGAUCUGGAGCGGCGGCUCCAUUGGCAAGGCACGGCCGGCUAGCAGCUGUGCGGGCGGUGGAUCUGGCGUCCCGGCCGCGAGUGCGGCGGGAUCCGGUGGUCGUUGGCGGCCGGCGGCGGUUUCUGCGGUGGCCGGUGCGUGCGAUCUAG
rnacentral:rRNA from 1 species